AUAAAUGGAGGAGGGAGGGAAGGUGGAGACAGUUUGAUUAGAAUGUGGUCACAGGUAGUGCUCCUCGGUUCCUUGGCGCUGGUCUCGGUCCACGCCCAAGCCCACCCUGGCCCCGCCCAUCCUGGUCCCGCCCAUCCCGGUCCCGCCCAUCCAGGUCCCGCCCACGCCUUCCCCGCCCAUGUCAGCCCGUCACACCCACAACUAGCAGCCCACGUCAGUCCACACGCCCCCAACCAAGGAGCCCACGCCUUCCCCGCCCAUGUCAGCCCGUCCCACCCACACCUGGCCGCCCAUGUCAGUCCACACGCUCCCAACCAAGGAGCCCACGCCUUCCCCGCCCAUGUCAGCCCGUCCCACCCACACCUAGCCGCCCAUGUCAGCCCACACGCCCCUAAUCAAGCCGCCCACGCCUUCCCCGCCCACGUGAGCCCGUCUUUCCCAAACAUCGCCGCCCAUAUCAGCCCACACGCCCCUCGCCAGGCCGCUCAUCCCCUCCCCGUGGGCGUGGACCCCUCCUGCGCAGGGAAAUAUCCUUUCUGUGAUUGAGAAGGAAGGAAUGCGAAGAAUACAGAAGAGAAGGAGGAGAGGAGGAGAAUAUGAAGGAAAAAAGUGAGAAAGAAGACAAGGGGGAACGAUAAUAAUUCUGUGGAUUGCAAAGGGAAUGUGGAAGGGGUGGAUGGAGAGAGAGGAGAGGAAAAGGAGGCAGGAAGGGAGGAAGGGGACGAAGGAAAAAGAAAGGGAAGAUGAAAGCGAGUCGCGAUAAAGAUGAAGAGCAGAUUAAUUGGCAGAUGUGAAAAGCCAAGGAAGGACGAAAGAGGAAAUGAGAGAGAGAGAGAGAGAGAGAGAGAGAGAGAGAGAGAGAGAGAGAGAGAGAGAGAGAGAGAGAGAGAGAGAGAAUAUAUAUAUAUAUAUAUAUAUAUAUAUAUAUAUAUAUAUAUAUAUAUAUAUAUAUAUAUAUAUAUAUAUAUAUAUAUAUAUAUAUAUAUAUAAUGGAAAAGACAAUAAAAUCAUUUACUAUCAGAAACAAAAAGAAGAAAAAAAGAGAAGAAAGGAAGAAAUAAAGACAGAAAGAAGAAGAAAACAAACAAAAUUAAAGAAAAGAAAAACAAAAAAGAUGUGAACAAGAAACAGAAAAAAAGAAAAGAAAUUGAAAAAGAAAUCCACUGACGAAUAUUCUCCCAAAUUUGUAAAUAUGACGAAAACAAAAACAAAAACAAAUGAAUCAAGUCAAUGUAAAUACGAAAAAAUUAAAUAAAUAAAGUUCAUAAAGACAAAAUAAAACUAUAACAACUUUA